rnacentral:rRNA from 1 species
GACGAACGCUGGCGGCGUGCUUAACACAUGCAAGUCGAACGGAAAGGCCCUGCUUUUGUGGGGUGCUCGAGUGGCGAACGGGUGAGUAACACGUGAGUAACCUGCCCUUGACUUUGGGAUAACUUCAGGAAACUGGGGCUAAUACCGGAUAGGAGCUCCUGCUGCAUGGUGGGGGUUGGAAAGUUUCGGCGGUUGGGGAUGGACUCGCGGCUUAUCAGCUUGUUGGUGGGGUAGUGGCUUACCAAGGCUUUGACGGGUAGCCGGCCUGAGAGGGUGACCGGCCACAUUGGGACUGUGAUACGGCCCAGACUCCUACGGGAGGCAGCAGUGGGGAAUAUUGCACAAUGGGCGGAAGCCUGAUGCAGCAACGCCGCGUGCGGGAUGACGGCCUUCGGGUUGUAAACCGCUUUCGCCUGUGAUGAAGCGUGAGUGACGGUAAUGGGUAAAGAAGCACCGGCUAACUACGUG